CCCUGCCUUUUGUACACACCGCCCGUCGCUACUACCGAUUGAAUGGCUUAGUGAGGUCUCCGGAUUGGCUUCGGGGAGCCGGCGACGGCACCCUGUCGCUGAGAAGCUGAUCAAACUUGGUCAUUUAGAGGAAGUAAAAGUCGUAACAAG
rnacentral:rRNA from 1 species